AGUCAUACGCUCGUCUCAAAGAUUAAGCCAUGCAUGUGUAAGUAUAAAUAAUUCUACUUUGAAACUGCGAAUGGCUCAUUAUAUCAGUUAUAGUUUAUUAGAAAAAAUGUACUACUUGGAUAACCGUAGUAAUUCUAGGGCUAAUACAUGAGUAAAUCCUCGACUUUGAAGAGGUGUGUUUAUUAGUAUGAAAACCAUAUGCUUCGGCAUGAUAGUGAGUAAUAAUAACCUUUCAUAUCGUAUGUUGAAAUAACGAUAGUUCUUUCAAGUUUCUGCCCUAUCAGCUUUCGAUGGUAGUGCAUUGGACUACCAUGGCAGUAACGGGUAACGAAGAAUUUGGGUUCGAUUUCGGAGAGGGAGCCUGAGAGAUGGCUACCACAUCCAAGGAAGGCAGCAGGCGCGUAAAUUACCCAAUCCUGACAUAGGGAGGUAGUGACAAUAAAUCACAAUGCGGGACUUUUAGUUUUGCAAUUGGAUUGAGAACAAUGUAAAAGAGUUAUCGAUAAACAAUUGGAGGGCAAGUCUGGUGCCAGCAGCCGCGGUAAUUCCAGCUCCAAUAGCGUAUAUUAA
rnacentral:rRNA from 1 species